GCUGCAUCUCUCGCAGAAAACAAGACAUGGUGAAUGUUUCGUACAUGAUCAUCCUUUGACAAUAAAGUUUGAACCAAUUGAUCCACAGCAAGAUUCGCCGAUAAAUUGAGAAUGUCUUCUGGUGUUUCCGAAGUAAUAUCCUUC